rfam:Hypholoma sublateritium FD-334 SS-4 unplaced genomic scaffold scaffold_11, whole genome shotgun sequence.
GGUGGGUUGGCGUAAUGGCAACGCGUUAGUUUCCGGCAUAGUAGCCAGCUAAAGAUUCUGGGUUCGAGUCCCAGGCCCGUCG